UGGUGGAGCAUGUGGUUUAAUUCGAUGCAACGCGAAGAACCUUACCUACUCUUGACAUCUAGAGAAUCCAGCGGAGACGCAGGAGUGCCUUCGGGAACUCUAAGACAGGUGCUGCAUGGCUGUCGUCAGCUCGUGUUGUGAAAUGUUGGGUUAAGUCCCGCAACGAGCGCAACCCUUAUCCUUGUUUGCCAGCGAGUAAUGUCGGGAACUCCAGGGAGACUGCCGGUGAUAAACCGGAGGAAGGUGGGGACGACGUCAAGUCAUCAUGGCCCUUACGAGUAGGGCUACACACGUGCUACAAUGGCGCAUACAGAGGGCAGCAAGCUAGCGAUAGUGAGCGAAUCCCAAAAAGUGCGUCGUAGUCCGGAUUGGAGUCUGCAACUCGACUCCANGAAGUNNGAAUCGC
rnacentral:rRNA from 1 species